UCAAACUUGGUCAUUUAGAGGAAGUAAAAGUCGUAACAAGGUUUCCGUAGGUGAACCUGCGGAAGGAUCAUUACCGAGUAUUGGAGCCCCUACGGGCUCCUACUCCCACCCUAUGUUGACUUUAAACGUUGCUUUGGCGGACCGGUGGUUUUUACCACCGCCGGCCUUGGUGCUUCACCGCCGGUUUUAACCUGGGGCUACAAACCUCAGGACCGGAGGGCUGGAGAGCGUCCGCCAGAGGCUCAUUUUUGAACUCUGUUAACAGUGAAGUCUGAGUCUUGAGAAAUCGAAUCAAAACUUUCAACAACGGAUCUCUUGGUUCUGGCAUCGAUGAAGAACGCAGC
rnacentral:misc_RNA from 1 species